ACAGCGUAAACUUAACAUGAAGUGAAGCAUGUAAACCUGCUGAAUUUAAGCAUAUAAGUAGGCGGUGGAAAAUGAACCAAAUGGGAUUCCUUAAGUAAUUGCGAAUGAACAAGGAAAUGCUCAGCUUGAAAAAUGGGGCCUUUGGCUUUGAAUUGUAAUUUUGAAAUGUAUUGCCAAUGGAGGCGCAGGUGCAAGCCUAUUGAAAGAAAGCGUCAAUGAGGGUGAGAUUCCUUUUUGUCAUUUGCAGUCCUCCGUGCGCGGUAUAUAUUUGACGAGUCACACUCCUCGGCAUUGGAAUGCAAAGUGGGUGGUAAAUUCCAUGUAAAGGUAAAUAUAUUAUUGAGACUGAUAGCAAACAAGUACCAUGAGGGAAAUAUGAAAAGGACUUUGAAAAGAGAAUUAAAAGAGUCUGCAUUUGCUGAGCAGAAAGCAAACAGAAUUGAUUUUACUUGGUGAGAUUGUUGUGCUUACUCUAUCAUUUAUAUGGUUGAUGUGGGUGCGAUGGUUCUUACCUUGAAUGUCAGCUUCUAUUUCUGCAAAUCAUUACCCUUGCACAUGAAUGGUAAUUUGCCUGCGGGUAUUGGAAUGCAUGUGUUUGCAAUGAUUUGUGAUUUGACGCAUGUGUUUGGUGAAAUUUGUAUAUGCUCUUUUGUCGAAGGGGAAAGCUUACUUUUUUGAGCAUUGCAAGCCCUUACACAUCAGUGCUGGCAAAAUGUUUCUGCUUGACCCGUCUUGAAACACGGACCAAGGAGUCUAACAGAUGUGCAAGUUCGUGGGUGGCAAACCUUUUUGCGCAAUGAAAGUAUUGGCUGGGAUACUUGCACCAGCAGCCGACCAAUUAGCAGACAGAGGUUUGAGUUUGAGCAUAUCUAUUAGGACCCGAAAGAUGGUGAACUAUGCCUGAACAGAAUGAAUCAGAGGAAACUCUGA
rnacentral:rRNA from 1 species